rnacentral:rRNA from 1 species
ACGGAGGAUGCAAGCGUUAUCCGGAUUCAUUGGGUUUAAAGGGUGCGUAGGCGGCUUUUUAAGUCAGUGGUGAAAUCCUGUCGCUUAACGAUAGAAUUGCCAUUGAUACUGAAGAGCUUGAGUUUAGUUGAGGUAAGCGGAAUGUGUAGUGUAGCGGUGAAAUGCUUAGAUAUUACACAGAACACCGAUUGCGAAGGCAGCUUACUAAACUAACACUGACGCUGAUGCACGAAAGCGUGGGGAGCGAACAGGAUUAGAUACCCUGGUAGUCCACGCCGUAAACGAUGCUCACUCGCUGUAUGCGAUACACAGUAUGCGGCCAAGCGAAAGCAUUAAGUGAGCCACCUGGGGAGUACGAUCGCAAGGUUG